GAUGAACGCUGGCGGCGUGCCUAAUACAUGCAAGUCGAGCGAAGAGAUGAGGCGUUUUCUCCUCUGACGUUGGCGGCGGACGGGUGAGUCACCCGUGGAUAACCUACCUAUAAGAAUGGGAUAACUACGGGGAACCGGAGCUAAUACCCGAUAAUAUAUUGAACAGGGUUGAUCAAUCGUGAAAGACGGUUUUGCUGUCACUUAUAGAUGGCUCCGCGCCGCAUUAGCUAGUUGGUAAGGUAACGGCUUACCAAGGCUACGAUGCGUAGACGGCCCGAGAGGGUGAUCCGCCACACUGGAACUGAGACACGUUCCAGACUCCUACAGGAGGAAGCAGUAGGGAAUCUUACGCAAUGGACGAAAGCCUAAUGUAGCAACGCCGGGGGAGUGAUGAAGGUCUUAGGAUGGGAAAACGCUGUAAGUAGGGAGGAAGAAAAGUGUAUUUACCCAUGCUCGUAUUGACGGUACCGAGAGAAAAAGCCCCGGCUAACUACGUG
rnacentral:rRNA from 1 species